rnacentral:misc_RNA from 2 species
CAACCCUUAAGCCCCUGUUGCUUAGUGUUGGGAAUCUGCGUUACGGCGCAGUUCCUUAAAGUGAUUUGGCGGAGCUAGUGCAUACUCUAGGCGUAGUAAAUACCAUUCUCGCUUUUGUAGUAGGCCUGGCGGCUUGCCGUAAAACCCCUAUAUUUCUAGU